CAGUCUUGAGUACAGUAGAGGUGGGCGGAAUUCGUGGUGUAGCGGUGAAAUGCUUAGAUAUCACGAAGAACUCCGAUUGCGAAGGCAGCUCACUGGACUGCAACUGACACUGAUGCUCGAAAGUGUGGGUAUCAAACAGGAUUAGAUACCCUGGUAGUCCACACAGUAAACGAUGAAUACUCGCUGUUUGCGAUAUACAGUAAGCGGCCAAGCGAAAGCAUUAAGUAUUCCACCUGGGGAGUACGCCGGCAACGGUGAAACUCAAAGGAAUUGACGGGGGCCCGCACAAGCGGAGGAACAUGUGGUUUAAUUCGAUGAUACGCGAGGAACCUUACCCGGGCUUAAAUUGCAGUGGAAUGAUGUGGAAACAUAUCAGUGAGCAAUCACCGCUGUGAAGGUGCUGCAUGGUUGUCGUCAGCUCGUGCCGUGAGGUGUCGGCUUAAGUGCCAUAACGAGCGCAACCCUUAUCUUUAGUUACUAACAGGUUAUGCUGAGGACUCUAGAGAGACUGCCGUCGUAAGAUGUGAGGAAGGUGGGGAUGACGUCAAAUCAGCACGGCCCUUACGUCCGGGGCUACACACGUGUUACAAUGGGGGGUACAGAAGGCAGCUACCUGGCGACAGGAUGCUAAUCCCAAAAACCUCUCUCAGUUCGGAUCGAAGUCUGCAACCCGACUUCGUGAAGCUGGAUUCGCUAGUAAUCGCGCAUCAGCCACGGCGCGGUGAAUACGUUCCCGGGCCUUGUACACACCGCCCGUCAAGCCAUGGGAGCCGGGGGUACCUGAAGUACGUAACCGCAAGGAUCGUCCUAGGGUAAAACUGGUGACUGGGGCUAAGUCGUAACAAGGUAGCCGUACCGGAAGGUGCGGCUGGAAC
rnacentral:rRNA from 1 species